rnacentral:rRNA from 1 species
AGCCUUUUGCAUUUAUAAAAGGUUAUGUCUGCCCAAUGUUAUAAAUAAUAAAUGGAUACAAAUUGUAUAAAGUAGCAUAAUAAUUUGUCUUUUUAAUGGAGACCAGAAUGAAUGACAUUACGAAGCUCAACUGUCUCUUAGUAUUAAACAAAAAUUGAUUCAAAAGUGAAAAAUCUUUUAUUUAUUUGUAGGACGAUAAGACCCUAUAGAGUUUUAGUAUAAAAAAUAUUAAAUACUAAUAUUUUAAUACUUUUGUUGGGGCAACAUAAGAACAAUAAAAAUCUUAACCAUAUUAAACCUUUAAAAGAAAAUAAACCAAACUACCUUAGGGAUAACAGUGCAAUCUUACCAGAGAGAACUAAUCGAAGGUAAGAUAUGCAACCUCGAUGUUGGACCAGGAAAACUAUUAAUAUGCAGAAGUAUAAUAAAGUGAGUCUGUUCGACUCUUAAAAUCCU